CCUACGGGAGGCAGCAGUGGGGAAUAUUGCACAAUGGGGGAAACCCUGAUGCAGCAACGCCGCGUGAGUGAGGAAGUAUUUCGGUAUGUAAAGCUCUAUUAGCAGGGAAUCGAAAAGAAGGUACCUGAACAAGAAGCCCCGGAUAACUACGUGCCAGCAGCCGCGGGAAUACGGAGGGGGCAAGCGUUAUCCGGAUUUACUGGGUUUAAAGGGAGCGUAGAGGGAAAGGCAAGUCAGAAGUGAAAACCCAAGGCUCAACCAUGGGACUGCUUUUGAAACUGUCAAACUAGAGUAGGGGAGAGGUAUGAGGAAUGCCUAGUGUAGCGGUGAAAUGCGUAGAUAUUA
rnacentral:rRNA from 1 species